UCAAUUAAGGUUGUAAAUGUUGGG
rnacentral:siRNA from 1 species